rnacentral:tRNA from 1 species
GGGUGUAGCUCAGUGGUACAGCGCAUGCUUAGCAUGCACAGGGCCCUGGGUUCAAUCCCCAGUGCCUCCA